AUUAAUCUAUUAUUCCGUUUCCGAAGAGUCGAGGGUCUGUGGCAGCCGCUCUGUUCUUCAAAGGUCGGAGUCACCGAUCAUGCUUUGCUUGAUCUGCUGCUUCAGCUGCUUGCAGAGACAUGGGCUUUUCUUCGUUCAUUAUCUGGGGUUUUUUGGGAGGAAAGAUUGAUUGAAUUUUGCAAAGCAAGAGAGAACUCACUAAGAAUCCCAAAUACUCUCUAUUCUUUUCUUAUGCUGCUGAUAUUGUUGUAGUUUUUGGAUGAUAUGAAGUAUGCUGAUCAUGCCCAGGUACCAAUUUUGGUUUUCGUGGACGGUUCAGCUUAGGAUUUCAUUGCAGAACACAAUGAUUUCAAUUAAGCUACAUUGGCCCAACAUGGAUUUUCUGUGAGGUGGCAUGCUUCUUCUGAUUUCCUCUUGCUCUGCCUGAAAAGCAUUGGGCAUGUCAAGAUUGUUUCAGAUAUACUCCACAUUAAGUGAUCGGAUGAUGGGUUAAAUACGAUAUCUAUGAUUGUAAUGUUACCUUGGCUUUCUCAAAGAUGUCUGGGUUCUCCUGAAGAAAGACAGUAGCCCACAUGGUGAUGUGGCCAGAAGAUUCAUGGCCAGCAUUGAGGUACAUGAUCAGGAUAUCAAUUAUCUCCUCAUCGUUCAAUCUCCUACCGUUUUCAUCUUCGACAUCUAUUAGAUUAUCCAUCAUGUCCUUCUUUGCUGGAGAUAGAUUUCUUGCUUUCAAUGCUCUUCUUUCAUCAACCACACUUUGAAGAGUUGCAACCAAACUUUUUCGGGCCUGAAAUGCAAUAGAGACUCUUUGUAAUACACACCAAUGAGACAGGCCAUAAACAAAUCGCUCACGCUGCACUCAAAAUUUCUGUAGCAAAGUUGAUUACUCUGCAGUGUAGAAGCACUGCUUACCUUAAGGGCUCUGUGGAAGGCAAACCCUGGGAGAUUGAUAGCCAUGGCUCUCACUCCAUAGUUGAGAUCGGUGUACACCUUCUCCAGGGAUCGUAUGACAUCCUCGUUCCCGGAGCUCAGAAAGAUCUGCAUGAUGAUUCUGAAGGUGAGCCGUCUCAUCUCGGUGAGGAACUCGAUCUGGCCCAUCCCGGCCCACCUCUCGAGGGUGGCCACGACGGUGUGCUCGAUGAACUGGAGGUAGUCGUUGAGUGCCUCGUGCCCAUUGAUGGGAGCGGCGGUGAGCCGCCGCAGCCGCUUGUGCUCAUCGCGCACGAUGCCGACGAAGGACUUCUCCCCCAUGAGCAGCCGAGUCGACUUCGGCCAACCGGGGAUGAAGUGCUCGUCGUCCAUCAGCACGUGCCUGCAGCCUUCCGGCGUGUGGAUCAUGAUCGUGGGGCUGCCGAACAUGUACGUCUUGUACAUCCCCACGCCAUUAAAUCUGCCAUCAACGUUGGCCGAAGAAGAAGAAGAAUAAGCACCUAACGUAACCAUCAACAAAUAUAUAUAUAUAUAUAUAUAUAUAUAUAUAUAUAUAUAUAUAUAUAUAUAUAUAUAUAUAUAUAAUAUUCUCAUUCUCGGGGAAAGAGAAUGACUGACCGUCGGACGAAGGAGGCGAUGAAGGAAUCAGGUUGGCCGGACUUGAAGGCGCGGAGGAAGGCCCACAUGUUACCGAUGAUGGGCCAACCCAUGUCGCCCGGCGGCAGGUGGCGGCGCUUCUCCCCAAGGCCGACCUCCUGCACCCACUCGUGCAGCCGUCUCAAGCCGCCGCACACCGCCACCAGCCCCAUAGCUGCAGCCGUCACCGUCAGCACGACCCCCCACGCUGUCUCCAUCACCAGCAUCUCUUCCUCUCCGCCGUGCACUUCAGUCUUCCCUGUAUUACGGCACAGACAGCUCAUUCUACCGGCAUGAAUGGACACAAUACCAAGGAAUUAAGGCAGGAAGAUAGAGCAACAGAGAAGGUACAACUGGCAGCAAUGGAAACGAGAAGAAAAGAGACUGAAUUCAAGAGCAUUCCUCGAUUCCUUGUAGGAACAGUUUCACUGUUUCUUCUUCUCCGGCAAACGCCUACAUCGGAUGGUUCUUACUCUAUUUUCUUAUAAUACUCGAAAUUUAGCAGCUAAAAAGAAACAAAUGUAUAGUGCUUAGAAAGGUUGAAGAUUCCUGUCAAUCCUUCACCUCGUGAAUUUUCACUGUGUUAUCGGUUGGUAUCGGUUGUCACGUCGCUUAGAAAUCGAUGUUGCAUGGAUGAGCGAGACUGACAGUCUUGAUUGAUUCUUUGUC